rnacentral:rRNA from 1 species
AUGAACGCUGGCGGCGUGCUUAACACAUGCAAGUCGAACGGUGAAGGCGGAGCUUGCUCUGCUGGAUCAGUGGCGAACGGGUGAGUAACACGUGAGCAAUCUGCCCCUGACUCUGGGAUAAGCGCUGGAAACGGCGUCUAAUACUGGAUACGAGCUGCGAAGGCAUCUUCAGCAGCUGGAAAGAACUUCGGUCAGGGAUGAGCUCGCGGCCUAUCAGCUUGUUGGUGAGGUAACGGCUCACCAAGGAGUCGACGGGUAGCCGGCCUGAGAGGGUGACCGGCCACGCUGGGACUGGAACACGGCCCAGACUCCUACGGGAGGCAGCAGUGGGGAAUAUUGCACAAUGGGCGAAAGCCUGAUGCAGCAACGCCGCGUGAGGGACGACGGCCUUCGGGUUGUAAACCUCUUUUAGCAGGGAAGAAGCGAAAGUGACGGUACCUGCAGAAAAAGCGCCGGCUAACUACGUG